CUUGUACUCCCUCCGUUCCGAAUUACUUGUCGCAAGUAUGGAUGUAUCUAGAUGUAUUUUAGUUCUAGAUACAUUCAUUUUUGCGACGAGUAAUUUGGAACGGAGGGAGUACAUA
rnacentral:pre_miRNA from 1 species